UACGUAGGUGGCUAGCGUUGUCCGGAUUUACUGGGCGUAAGAGCGCGCAGGCGGUCGUUCAAGUCGAGUGUGAAAGCCCCCGGCUCAACUGGGGGAGGGUCACUCGAUACUGAUCGACUUGAAGGCGGGAGAGGGAAGCGGAAUUCCCGGUGUAGUGGUGAAAUGCGUAGAUAUCGGGAGGACACCAGUGGCGAAGGCGGCUUUCUGGCCCGU
rnacentral:rRNA from 1 species